GACGAACGCUGGCGGCGUGCUUAACACAUGCAAGUCGAACGGUGAAGCGCCUUCCUUUUUGGUUGGUGUGGAUGAGUGGCGAACGGGUGAGUAACACGUGAGUAACCUGCCCCCUUCUUCUGGAUAACCGCAUGAAAGCGUGGCCAAUACUGGAUAUUCUGGGUCUGUCGCAUGAUGGGUCUGGGAAAGCUAUUGUUUCGGUGGGGGAUGCGCUCGCGGCCUAUCAGCUUGUUGGUGGGGUGAUGGCCUACGAAGGCGGGGACGGGUAGCCGGCAUGAGAGGGUCGACGGUCACAGUGGGAGUCAGGCACAGCACAGACUGCUACAGGAGCCAGCAGUGGGGGAUAGUGAACAAUGGGCACAAUCCUGAUGCAGCGACGCCGCGUGUGAGAUGGAGGCCUUCGGGUUGUGAACCUCUUUCGCGAGUGAAGCACGCCUGCCUGGUAUGUGGGUGGGUUGACGGUAGCUGGUAAAGAAGCGCCGGCUAACUACGUG
rnacentral:rRNA from 1 species